GAUGAACGCUGGCGGCGCGCCUAAUACAUGCAAGUCGAGCGAGAAGACGUAGCAAUACGUUUGUAAAGCGGCGAACGGGUGAGGAAUACAUGGGUAACCUACCCUAGAGUGGGGAAUAACUAGCCGAAAGGUUAGCUAAUACCGCGUACGCUCCUUGGACUUCGGUUCAGGGAGGAAAGCGAUACCGAGGGUAUCGCGCUCUUGGAUGGGCUCAUGUCCUAUCAGCUUGUUGGUGAGGUAACGGCUCACCAAGGCUUCGACGGGUAGCUGGUCUGAGAGGACGAUCAGCCACACUGGCACUGCGACACGGGCCAGACUCCUACGGGAGGCAGCAGUAAGGAAUAUUGCGCAAUGGGCGAAAGCCUGACGCAGCGACGCCGCGUGGGGGGA
rnacentral:rRNA from 1 species